rnacentral:sRNA from 1 species
GCCAGGUGUGGUACUGCACACCUGUAAUCCCAGCAACUUAGGAGGCUGAGGCAGGAGGAUCACAAGUUCAAGGCCAGCUUGGGCAACUUAGCAAGACCCUGUU